rnacentral:rRNA from 1 species
AAGUGGAGCAAUCCAUGAGUAAAGUGGCGACCGGGUGAGUAACACGUGACUAACCUACCUUCGAGUGGGGGAUAACCUCGGGAAACCGGGGCUAAUACCGCAUAAUGCCUUCGGGUUAAAGGAGCAAUUCGCUUGAAGAGGGGGUCGCGGCUGAUUAGCUAGUUGGCGGGGUAACGGCCCACCAAGGCGAUGAUCGGUAGCCGGCCUGAGAGGGCGCACGGCCACACUGGAACUGAAACACGGUCCAGACUCCUACGGGAGGCAGCAGUGGGGAAUUUUGCGCAAUGGGGGAAACCCUGACGCAGCAACGCCGCGUGGAGGAUGAAGUCCCUUGGG